rnacentral:rRNA from 1 species
AGAGUUUGAUCCUGGCUCAGAACGUACGCUGGCGGCACGCCUAACACAUGCAAGUCGAACGAAGUAGCAAUACUUAGUGGCAGACGGGUGAGUAACAUGUGGGUAUCUACCCUUUGGCCUGGAAUAACACGAGGAAACUUGUGCUAAUACCGGAUAAGUCUUUACGGAGAAAGCUUUAUGCACCAUUGGAUGAGCCCGCACUUGAUUAGUUUGUUGGUAGGGUAAUGGCCUACCAAGACUAUGAUCAAUAGCUGAUUUGAGAGGAUGAUCAGCCACAUUGGGACUGAGACACGGCCCAAACUCCUACGGGAGGCAGCAGUGGGGAAUCUUGCACAAUGGAGGAAACUCUGAUGCAGCGGUGCCGCGUGAGUGAAGAAGGCCUUUGGGUUGUAAAGCUCUUUCGUCGGGGAAGAAAAUGACUGUACCCGAAUAAGAAGGUCCGGCUAACUUCGUGCCAGCAGCCGCGGUAAUACGAAGGGACCUAGCGUAGUUCGGAAUUACUGGGCUUAAAGAGUUCGUAGGUGGUUGAAAAAGUUGGUGGUGAAAUCCCAGAGCUUAACUCUGGAACUGCCAUCAAAACUUUUCAGCUAGAGUAUGAUAGAGGAAAGCAGAAUUUCUAGUGUAGAGGUGAAAUUCGUAGAUAUUAGAAAGAAUACCAACUGCGAAGGCAGCUUUCUGGAUCAUUACUGACACUGAGGAACGAAAGCAUGGGUAGCGAAGAGGAUUAGAUACCCUCGUAGUCCAUGCCGUAAACGAUGUGUGUUAGACGUUGGAAAUUUAUUUU